rnacentral:lncRNA from 1 species
UUGCAUUGUAUUUAAUAAUUCAUUUAAAUGAUACAAAAUGAAUACAUAUCAGGAUGAUUCAAGCCGUUCUUCUAAGACGGUCUUUUGUACAUAAUGCAAGCCAUUCUUCUGGAACAGUCUUAUCUAUUCAUUUGGUCACCACCGAAGAUGAUGUACAUAACCUUUUACCUACUAGAAGCAAAAUACCAAAAUAUUAAAAGGAGUACAAGUGUGAAAUAAUACAAGUAUUGUUUACAUUCUUCGGUAUGAAAAACUUUACUCAAAGAUUCUUCAAAAUCAUGUUUGCUCAACAAAUAUAAUGGAACGAUUGAUGAUCUAGUUAUAUCUUGCAAGAGUAAAAACCAUAAUUCAAUUUCCUAUGUCAAAAAAAAAAAAAAAAAUCCAAAGUUCAAACAAGGAUUUGUUCUUCAUAUGAAAGUUCUAAAGACACAAAAUCCUCUGGAAACAGAGAGUUAUAAAAAGAAAGAAAUAUACAAAAAAUCUUGAUUUUGAUCACAAUGAAGGUAAGCAUCAGGGAAGAAAAUUGAUGAGAUAACAGACAACAAACUCUCAUUUCAACUUCAUAUAUUGCCUUUGUAAAGUCUGAUUGGAGUAACUAUGAUUCAACUUCAUUUCCUCCCACUUUCUAAAAGUUCAGCUUUUCAAAGGCUUUACUUAAAACUCUUAAAAUGAUAUGAACUUCUAGUUCAUAUUUUGAAUGAACAUGAGUAAAAGAAACUUCAACUUCCCUUUGAUCUUAUAACCAAGAAACCUCUCUCUCUCUCUCUCUCUCUCUCUCUCUCUCUCUCUCUCUCUCUCUCUCUCUCUCUCUCUCUCGGUUUCUUUUCUUCUUUUCUC